ensembl:snRNA U6 U6 spliceosomal RNA
CAGCACAUAUAUGCUGAAAUUGAAAUUGGAACAAUAAAAAUUAUCAUGGUCCCUGUGCAAGAAUGGCAUGCAAAUUUGUGAAGCAAUUCAGAAUUUU